rnacentral:lncRNA from 1 species
UGGAUCUCUCUAUUUCUUCAUGCAAUUGACAAUUGUUUUGAUGCUUAAGGCCCAAGGACGUUCCUUGGCAAUUUGUUAAUUAGUAAUUGAUUAGAGGACGUUCCCUAAUUGAUUUAAUCAUAAGGAGAGACAUGGUGGUGAGAAGCGUUUUCCAUCCCCAUAACUAAUCUAUUGAACCAAUCAAGAGAACAUAAGUUUCA